rnacentral:rRNA from 1 species
AUGCUGACAACGUUUGAUCUCCUUUUCUUUUUUGUGAACGCGCAGGAAGUGGUACAAGCCCUACGUUCGUGUCUCGUGCAACCUCUUCGCCGCGCGGACGGGCCCGGCGUACAGGCACUGUCCCAAGGACGUGCUCACUCGAGCUGUCCACUGGGGAAGCGGGAGAAGUGCCUUCAACCGGCCUGUUCUUGCCCGGCAGACCCUGCCACGGCCGCCUCGCCGGUGGAUUAUGCUCGAGGUCCACGGCGCCGGGAACGACGUCGCCAUGCUGGCAGUCCGGGGGGACAACUUGUACGUGGUGGGCUUCGCGACCCGGUCGGGUGCCUGGUUCGUCUUCAAGAACCGGGCCAACCUCAUCCCCUCCGCCACAGUCCUGCCGUCGACAACUACACCGGGCUGGUCGGCUUCGGCGGCCACAAGAACUUGGAGCAGCUCCGGCUGGGCCGGACGACCACGCUUCGGGCAAUCGCCCACCUCUCUGGCUUUGCCGCCGACUAUGCGCCGGACGCCGACGACGGGUGCAUGCGGCGCGCCGUGGCCACGCUUGUCGUGACAAUAUUUGAGGCCGCUCGCUUCGCCCCGAUACAGCAGAGCAUAUCCGACAACUGGGUCAACGGAGUCACGUUCAAGCCGCAGCAGUGGAUUGUGGUCCAGUGGAGGACCGUGUCGUGCGCUCUCCUCAUCUCCAGGCAGCACGGCGGCCAGUGGGCGUCGCCGGAAACGCGGGAGCUCCGGGGGGUACAGAUCACCACACGGGCCCAGGCGGAGGCCCUUGUCAACGUGCUUCUGUGGCCCGGUAAGGCUGCGUGCUCAGAGCCCAUCGCUCUCCGGGCCUAG